CAUAAUAGUAGUCUAGUCUCCAUUAUAUAACAAGCUUUCAAAGACAAAUGUGUGUUAAACUACAUUAAAAACGGUUGGGGUACAGUAGCAAUUUUGUACAAUUUACAAUUAAACAUAACUUUAAUUCACUUGUUCAAUAAAACAUGGCUCAGGCUAUAGGUCUCCCACCGUGAGCAAGCGAAAAAAAUAACUUUUGACGGUCAGAUAUUAAAAUUCUAUGAUUGUUAACAUACACCAACAACACCAUAUACUUUUUAAUUCUCGCUUUGUUCUCUCUUCUCCAUCUUCAACCUGCUUUCUCUGUUUCUCACCCAAAAAUUCAGAUUGGCAGCAACAUAAGUUUCAAAUAGAGUUGACAUAUAAGUUUGGUCGAACGCAUCUUCCGUUGAUAUGAAGCUUUGCCAUUGAAACCAAUAUAUUUUUCUUUGAAAUACCAUCGUGCUUCCAUGAAAGAGUAAUGAGAUAAUUUUUUUAAAAAAACUUAAUGAAUUUAUUUAACCAAUUUAAGUGUGGAAGAUUCAAGUUUUAAUAGUUUAAAAAAGAACAAAAAUGAAAUUUAGUGACAAAAUUUUGAUUUUUCGAAAGCUUCACACAUCUUUCAAACCUCUCAACCACCUUUUGGGGCUUUUAGGAACCGCAAGCAAAUACCAUUUUUCUUUUUUGCAGAAGAUGCAAGCAAAUUAUUGAACAAACAGAAAAUCCAUUGUUUGGAUAUUAAUAAAGGAACACAAGUUAAUUAGUUAGGUUAUUUAUUUUUUCUUUAACAAUUUCCUUUCAUUAUAUUAAUCUUGAACUGGGACAUUCCCCUUCCUUUGUUUUCCAAUUCCUUGUCAAUUUUCACAAUCAAUUAUGGAUUGAUUAUCGCAAGAGAGAAAGAUUUGUUCUGAAAACGAAAGUAGUUGAAGGAGAAAGAGAAGAGUAAGAAUGGAAAUUGAUAAAGUGUUGGUAGUGCAUCAUAACAAUCUUAAAAGCUUACAAUCUAAUAGUUAAUAAUACUCUCUCACCGUGAGAGACCUAUCAAGGUCACUCACUCACCCUAGAAGGCACCAUAAAACAUAACUUUAUUUCAAACAUAAUACACUGAAUCUGCCUUGGGUUAUGACACUUUUCGCUCACAAAUAGACACUGAGUGUCACAUUUGAUGUAAAAUAUAUUCUCAUUCAUGACAAAAGUAUGGUCACCAUUCAAAGGAAUAAU
rnacentral:lncRNA from 1 species